rnacentral:tRNA from 1 species
GUUUUAAUAAUUUAAUUUAAAAUAUUGGUCUUGUAAACCAAAAAUAAGAAAAAAUCUUUUAAAACA